CCCAAAGUGCUAGGAUUACAGGCAUGAACCACCGUGCCUGGCGGACUAGCCGCUUUUUAUUUUUCUUCGUGGUUAUUGCAGGGUUGUGGAGCUUUAAAUCAUGCUUCUGUAGUCAGAGUGCUCUUAGUUGCAUUGUCUUAAUCCUCAUCACGGCCCGAGAACAGUCUGUAAAUCGGGAGUUCAGAGUGGGACCCUCUGCGGGGACCGGAAACCUGUUGCUGAAGCCGCUCACCACCAGGCCCAGAGAGGCGAGGCUGGAGCCCAUGGUGACAGUGGCCGGGCUUCGCUCUGGCUCCAGCAAUACCUGCAAAUCCAGUUCUUCCCAGCUGUUUCUCCAAACUGGUAGGAAAAAAAAAAGUGCAGAUUAGGGAGCCGAAACCCCACUUCAAAAACGGGAAUUCACCUACAAGAAAGUAGCUGAUCCUGCUCCCAUUGACGUGCUUGUUGUGCAAGGGUGAGGUUAACCAGCUAGGACCAAGCAACGGGUUUCCCUACACCCUGGGUGUGGCCACUCGUCCUGCAAGGAGAUAACCCAAGGAAGCAGCUCCUCCUGAAUCAUACAUGUUGAUCGCAGAUUGAGCUAGAAGGCAGAUCUCAUGACUGGUAUAAUGACUUCACUGGGAAGUUCUAGCAGUUGCCAGAACUGUAAGUUAGUUAUACAGGCUCCUGGUUCAAUGUUUUCCCGAAGUAGGUCAUUUGGUAACCUAAGAUUAGGAAUUUGGUAAUCUGGCACAAUACUUGGCACUGUGCUCAAUAAAUGUUUGUUCAGUGACUAAAA